rnacentral:rRNA from 1 species
AUUGAACGCUGGCGGCAUGCUUUACACAUGCAAGUCGAACGGUAACAGGCCUUCGAUUGCUGACGAGUGGCUAACGGGUGAGUAAUUCAUCGGAACGUGCCCAGAGGUGGUGGCUAACGCAGCGAAAGCUGUGCUAAUACCGCAUGUGAUCGGGGUAUGAGAGCGGGGGACCCUGCAGCAAUGUUUGGCCUCGCGCCUUUGGAACGGCCGAUGUCAGAUUAGGUAGUGGGUGGGGUAAAGGCCUACCAAGCCGACGAUCUGUAGCUGGUCUGAGAGGACGAACAGCCACACUGGGACUGAGACACGGCCCAGACUCCUACGGGAGGCAGCAGUGGGGAAUUUUGGACAAUGGGCGCAAGCCUGAUCCAGCAAUGCCGCGUGCGGGAAGAAGGCCUUCGGGUUGGAAACCGCUUUUGUACGGAACGAAAAGGCUCUGGCUAAUACCUGGGGAUGAUGACGGUACCGUAAGAAUAAGCACCGGCUAACUACGUG